AUUGAACGCUGGCGGCAGGCCUAACACAUGCAAGUCGAGCGAGCGGCGGACGGGUGAGUACUGUCUGGGAAACUGCCUGAUGGAGGGGGAUAACUACUGGAAACGGUAGCUAAUACCGCAUACCAUGCGCUGUGCCCUGUUGGGAUUAGCUAGUAGGUGGGGUAACGGCUCACCUAGGCGACGAUCCCUAGCUGGUCUGAGAGGAUGACCAGCCACACUAGAACUGAGACACGGUCCAGACGCCUACGGAAGGCAGCAGUGGGGAAGAUUGCACAAUGGGCGCAAGCCUGACGCAGCAAUGCCGCGUGUGUGAAGAAGGCCUUCGGGUUGUAAAGCACUUUCAGCGGGGAGGCGUUACCCGCCGAAGAAGCACCGGCUAACUCCGUGCCAGCCGCCGCGGUAAUAC
rnacentral:rRNA from 1 species